GCACACAGUAGGGCUUCACAGAUGCUUCUGCGGGUGAAAAGGAGGCGCUUCGCGUCUCUAGCAUCCGCUUCGCCCUGAGCGUCCACAUCUGACAGUCAUUUCGGCAGCUCGAAUUCGUCUUUGUGGGCGACAAGAGUGCUCCUUCCUCCCUGUUGGCCCCGCGCCGAAGCAACAUGGCCCCCCUCGGCUCUCUUCUUCCGGACAGGCCUGUCCAAAGGGUGGCUUCCACCGCUGCCAGCGCCGCCCUCCCCCUUUAAUCUCAUGCGCUCCGGCCUCCCCCUGUGCCCUUCUAGCAGGGAGGCUCUCCCGGGUCUCCCGUGGCCCCCGGCCAGCAGGCCUGGCCUUUGUGGCGUCCUCUCUCUUAACGGGUUCUUUCCAAAGCCUUUGGAGCCCACCGGAUCCCUGGCCCUGGCCCGCGCGUGCCUCUGCUCCCAUCUCCGGCCUGCCCUCGGUCUCCUGGGGGGCUCCCCUUCCCUGCCUCUGGGCCUCCGCCGCUUGCGUCACCCCCUCGAGGAGGGCGACGACUCCCAAGCCUCCCCCUCCGGCCUGCCUCUUCUCCCUGGAUCUAGUCCCGCGCCAGCCCCUCUCCUGGCGGCCUCCCCCUCCGGCCUGCCUCUUCUCCCUAGAUCUAGUCCCGCGCCAGGGUCUCCCCCUCGAGGAGGGCGACGACUCCCGCCUGCCUCUUCUCCCUGGAUCUAGUCCCGCGCCAGCCCCUCUCCUGGCGGCCUCCCCCUCCGGCCUGCCUCUUCUCCCUAGAUCUAGUCCCGCGCCAGGGUCUCCCCCUCGAGGAGGGCGACGACUCCCAAGCCUCCCCCUCCGGCCUGCC
rnacentral:lncRNA from 1 species